GAUGAAGAACGUAGCGAAAUGCGAUAAGUAAUGUGAAUUGCAGAAUUCAGUGAAUCAUCGAAUCUUUGAACGCACAUUGCGCCCUCUGGUUUUCCGGGGGGCAUGCCUGUUCGAGCGUCAUUAUAACCACUCAAGCUCUCGCUUGGUAUUGGAGUUCGCGAUCUCGCGGCUCCUAAAAUCAGUGGCGGUGCCUGUCGGCUCUACGCGUAGUAAUACUCCUCGCGAUUGAGUCCGGUAGGUUUACUUGCCAGCAACCCCCAAUUUUUACAGGUUGACCUCGGAUCAGGUAGGGAUACCCGCUGAACUUAAGCAUAUCAAUAAGCGGAGGA
rnacentral:misc_RNA from 1 species